UAGGGAAUCUUCGGCAAUGGGGGGAACCCUGACCGAGCAACGCCGCGUGAGUGAAGAAGGUUUUCGGAUCGUAAAGCUCUGUUGUUAAGGAAGAACGAGUGUGAGAAUGGAAAGUUCAUACUGUGACGGUACUUAACCAGAAAGGGACGGCUAACUACGUGCCAGCAGCCGUGGUAAUACGUAGGUCCCGAGCGUUGUCCGGAUUUAUUGGGCGUAAAGCGAGCGCAGGCGGUUAGAUAAGUCUGAAGUUAAAGGCAGUGGCUCAACCAUUGUAGGCUUUGGAAACUGUUUAACUUGAGUGCAGAAGGGGAGAGUGGAAUUCCAUGUGUAGCGGUGAAAUGCGUAGAUAUAUGGAGGAACACCGGUGGCGAAAGCGGCUCUCUGGUCUGUAACUGACGCUGAGGCUCGAAAGCGUGGGGAGCGAACAGG
rnacentral:rRNA from 1 species